GGGCCAUCCUGGACUUGAACCAGAGACCUCGCCC
rnacentral:tRNA from 1 species